UACGUAGGGGGCAAGCGUUGUCCGGAUUUAUUGGGCGUAAAGAGCGUGUAGGCGGCCAGACAGGUCCGUUGUGAAAACUCGAGGCUCAACCUCGAGACGUCGAUGGAAACCGUCGGGCUAGAGUCCGGAAGAGGAGAGUGGAAUUCCUGGUGUAGCGGUGAAAUGCGCAGAUAUCAGGAGGAACACCCGUGGCGAAAGCGGCUCUCUGGGACGGUACUGACGCUGAGACGCGAAAGCGUGGGGAGCGAACAGG
rnacentral:rRNA from 1 species